rnacentral:lncRNA from 1 species
CUUGUCCAACAGCUGCCAGAGCUGCAGCCCCUAACGAUGCCCCGAUCACCUGCCUGCUCUGCAGGACAGGACACCUAUUUGUUCCAAACAAGCUCUUUCAGCAGCUGUCAGAUGCUAAUGGCUUUCAGCUGCUGACAACCUGUGCCCUAUGCAAACCAGGGGCACAUCAUGGAAAUGUGCAUAAAUAUUCAUGUGUGGCUGACAAAACCAGAAGUGCAAACGCAGUUAUCAGAGUUCUUGCAUGAAUGUGCUGUAGCCUGCCCUGUUGUGUUGGUUUUGGUAUGAUGGAUACAGUGCACAUGUUCUGAAGUGAUGUUGCCCUUUUAUUUCUGUGAUUAAAAAUCCACUGAAGGCAGUGAGGAUGCAGAGGCACGGGGGUAAGAGCAGAACUUGGGUCCCUGUGUAAUGUGGGCAGUUCCAGACUGAUAAUGCUCUAUUCUGUGGGUCACGUACUGAAAUUUUAUUGAGAGAAAGGAGUUGCUUUGUUUAAUCCUGUCUGUGCUCUAUGAAGGGCUGAAGGAAUGUGAGAACCCAGUGACUGUGUUCAGUGCUUCAAUGUCUGAAUCAGCAAUUUUGAAGGACUGCAUGACUUGGUGAGGACCUGACAAUCUCCCCCAUCCCAGGAAAAGGAUUUUGUCUUAUGGAAAAGGAUUCCUGUCUCAUCACCAGCUGUGGACACUCAGGGCAGACCAGGAUGCUUUCAGCAAGAAGCAAUGCUCAUCUGUUGCGCUCACUUGUGAGUGAUGAAGGCCACACCAAGGCCAUGCCAGCCAGUUACACUCUGCGAUGCCACCGCUGAUUGCACUGCAGAUAUUCUGACUGCUGUCACUGCGCCUGAAUAUUUCUAAGGAGAGUUAAAUGUGAUCUCAAACUGAAUUCUUAUGGCUGCUGUUUUGACUUAACAGGCACCGGGAGAGGAUAAUCCUGUUUAUUCGGUCAUCCAAAGCACUGGUGAUGAUCUGAGAUAAUCAGUGGCUGAGAGCAGCGAGGAGGGACGCGCGA